GGUCCUGUAGCUCAGCGGGAGAGCGUCCGCCUCACACGCGGAAGGUCGCUGGUUCGAUCCCAGUCGGGACCACAA
rnacentral:tRNA from 1 species